GAUGAACGCUGGCGGCGUGCCUAAUACAUGCGAGUCGAGCGAACAGAUGAGGAGCUUGCUCCUCUGACGUUAGCGGCGGACGGGUGAGUAACACGUGGAUAACCUACCUAUAAGACUGGGAUAACUUCGGGAAACCGGAGCUAAUACCGGAUAAUAUAUUGAACCGCAUGGUUCAAUAGUGAAAGACGGUUUUGCUGUCACUUAUAGAUGGAUCCGCGCUGCAUUAGCUAGUUGGUAAGGUAACGGCUUACCAAGGCAACGAUGCGUAGCCGACCUGAGAGGGUGAUCGGCCACACUGGAACUGAGACACGGUCCAGACUCCUACGGGAGGCAGCAGUAGGGAAUCUUCCGCAAUGGGCGAAAGCCUGACGGAGCAACGCCGCGUGAGUGAUGAAGGUCUUCGGAUCGUAAAACUCUGUUAUUAGGGAAGAACAAAUGUGUAAGUAACUAUGCACGUCUUGACGGUACCUAAUCAGAAAGCCACGGCUAACUACGUG
rnacentral:rRNA from 1 species